rnacentral:rRNA from 1 species
AUUGAACGCUGGCGGCAGGCCUAACACAUGCAAGUCGAGCGGAGUGGCGGACGGGCGAGUAAUGCCUAGGUAUCUGCCCGGCAGCGGGGGAUAACGUCAGGAAACGGGCGCUAAUACCGUAUCCCAACAGAUUAGCCUAGGUCGGAUUGGCUAGUUGGUUGGGUAAAGGCCUACCAAGGCGACGAUCCUUAACUGGGUUGAGAGGAUGACCAGUCAGACUGGAACUGAGACACGGUCCAGACUCCUACGGGAGGCAGCAGUGGGGAAUAUUGCACAAUGGGCGAAAGCCUGAUCCAGCCAUGCCGCGUGUGUGAAGAAGGUCUUCGGAUUGUAAAGCACUUUAAGUUGGGAGGCGUUACCAACAGAAUAAGCACCGGCUAACUUCGUGCCAGCAGCCGCGGUAAUAC